GGUGUCGUGGUGUAGUUGGUUAUCCCGUCAGUCUAACACACUGAAGGUCUCCCGUUCGAGUUCGGGGGACGCCA
rnacentral:tRNA from 1 species